rnacentral:rRNA from 1 species
AUGAGAGUGCGGGAAUGUGGGCCUCACCUCUUCUACAAAUGCGGCUACACACGAAGGCUUUGGUCUUUGAUCAUUGACAAAUAUCAUAUUCUCGGUCUUGACACCAACGGUUGGCCCCUGUUCGACUCUGUUGAGGCUUGGUGGGCAAGUACCCGCGACAACGCCGCGCCAAACCGCCAAGCCAAGGCGUCCCUCACCAUGCUUGUCUCAUGCAAGGAUGAAAAGCACUCCAUACACACCCGCAAGGAUGAUGAUCCAUCUGUUUCUAGGAUGGUGGGACUUGAGGUAUGCACCAGAAUCAAGGAUCUGCUACUUGAUGAAAUAUACAGGAGACUCUCCUAUUCAACAUUACGUUAA